AAGUCGUAACAAGGUUUCCGUAGGUGAACCUGCGGAAGGAUCAUUAACAAAUAAAGAAUCUCAUAUUCUUAAACCCCAUUCUGAGUACUUGUACUUGUUGCUUCCGUGGUCAGUAAGCAUCGUGCUUGCAUCUACCUUCAUGGUCGAUCCACGGAAGGUAUACAAUAAACUCUGUUAUAUUGUGGUAUCAGUCUGAGUAUGUUCAAGUUAUAAAUGUUAAAACUUUCAACAACGGAUCUCUUGGUUCUC
rnacentral:misc_RNA from 1 species